CACGGCUGUGCGGGGCUCUGCAGGGCAGGACUAGGGGUCCUCUUGGGACGGGGAUGGCAGUGGGUGUUGAGCUGCAGGACCCCACCUCAGGGUGGGAGUGGGGGUUCCCGGGGGUCCUCCAGGCCAUGUGUGCUGCCCAUGGGCUGUCCUGCAGGCACUGGGGGCCGGGCGUUGCCCCUAAAAGCUGCAGGACAGACAUCUCCGUGGAGUCAGGUCCAGCUCUGCCAGUUACCUUGCAGCGGUGCCUCCGCUCCUCCAUCGCCAUGGGAUGGGGAGCAACACCAGGCCAAGACCUUUACAGCUGCUGUUGGAGGCUUUGGCUCCAUCCAGCACGAGUGAACACCAUGGCAGGACUGACAAGCAGCAGAGGCGCCAGACGAGCAGCUCUGCACAUCUACUCAAUGUGACCACUAGAUGAAUGUUACAUCUCAUUGCGUGCAACCCCAGCAGUGACUGAACGGGGGUUACAUCCAUCUGGCAGAACAUCACAUCACCCCAGCAGCUCUCUGGGCUUCCUCAGACAGCUCCAGUGACCCCACAGCUCUGGGGUGAGUCAGCCCAGCACAGGAAUCCAGCUGGAAAUUCUGACAGUAAUGGAAAGAAAAGACAUAGUUUUCUGUUGGUCCGGUGAGUUGAGCUCAUUCACUCAUGUGACCACUGUUUAAGGGAAUGAGAGGGAAAAAAAAAGAGAAACAAAACUACCCCUUUUGGCAGCCACCCACACAUCAGGCAUAAUACUGAGCUGCUCUGACUCAAAUCAGAUGGAUGCCUUCCUCUACUCAAAAAAACCCUAGAAACACCUAUUUUCUGUUAAUGUGCUAACUCCAGUACUGUCACAGUUCGAUUCUCUGUUGACUGCACACUUCAUUGACCACCUCCCCACUCUUGCCAAAAGCUGGUGUCAGCCUGGCCAAGCUUCUGUCCCUGCUUACCUGAGACACACCAGUUACUAGGUUUUAUGUAAUGACUCAACAGUUACUUCCCCUAAUUCUCUGGAAAUCCAGUGAUACAGUAAUUACUGAGAAAUCAGUCCUAAGGGUUUGGUGAUCUUCUCAGGCAAUUCUUAAAAUACUUUUGCAUGAAAGUUUUAAAGAUGGGUAUUAACCAGUGGUUUUCAUUCACUCUGGUUACACGUGAAAGACAAACAUACCUCCAAUUAAAUAUGGUGACACCAUUCUGUCCAUUUUCCAAACAAAGAACAGAAAAAAAUACUGAAUAAUUUCAGGGUUUUUUUUUUCAUUGAAUUGAAAUUGUUGUCCAACAUCCAGCCUAAAUCACUGCUAGGAUUUUCUCUGUGCCUCAAGGAAAUGCCACUGGAUGGUGAUCAAUGGUACUGGCCAAUAUAUUUUCAUUGGAUUUCCCUAGCUAGUUACCUGUUUUGCAAACUGCUAAACUACCUAUCACUAUCAGCUUGCCAAAUUCCCAUCUAUAUAUGUCUUUAUUGUUGCCUAUUUUUCCCUUUUGACCAAAAUGUUUUGUUUUAAAACCAGAACAGCCUCCUUUUUAUGCCACUGAAAUUGUGAGCAUUUGAGUCACCUAACAACACAAUGAUGAAGGACUCCCCCAGUUUCCAUUUGGAUCACACUGAAGUAUUUCCUCAGGCUCACUUUUGCUCAUAACUCCUCUUAGCCUUGCAAACUGCUAGCAGUGUCCCCAGUAGUGUCGUAGGAAUGCGGGGAGAUUGAAAUGGGUACCCUUCUGCCUGGGUGUUGGAAAACAAGAGGUAAAACACAUUAGUAGAAAUAGCUUUCUAGGUCAUACAGACCUAGAAAUUACUAUGAUGAGGAGAAGCCAAGGAGAUUUCUUUUUGGAUCAAGCAUUGACUGGUAAAAAGAGCCUACCAUAUGACUCAGAGGUAAAAUAUUAUGAAGUUAUUAGUGCUAUUAAACAGAAGCUCUUAUUCUGUCAUUCCCUGUUAGUAAAAUGAGGUAAAAGGUUUGCUUUGAUACAUACAUUUCUAUGUUCUUCCACAAAAUUCCUUUAGUAAUUUUCAAUUAAAGAUCAAUUUCUCAUCACAUUUUUUAACCCAUUGCAUAUUCUAAUGUAUUAUCUUUAUCCCCAUUAGAAGGUUUCCCAUAACACCUAAUUGCUUUUCUUUUUCAGUCGCUGGCAAAUUUGAACUCGUUUAUUGCUUCACAAACCUCAAACCAUGCAGGCUUUUAUUAACUCAGAGAUUAAUUUUGUGGUUGGCACACUCCCUGCUUUCCAGCUCUCUUGGCAUCACUCUGGUUUGUACUGCUGGAAGUGCCUGGCAACCUCAGCUCUCCUGCAGCAUUCCUGGCUGCAACUUCCCUAGGGAAGGGAUGGAUCACAGGGCAUCAUGAGUUAUUUCUAGGUAUACACCUAGAAAUCACAGCUUCAGUGCUUUUAAAACAUCAGGUGUUUAACCUGGUAGAAAAAAAACAAAAGAAAAUAAAUUACAAGAGAAACUACAAGAAAAACAACAAUUUUUCUCUGGUCAAUUCACCUUAGAGAGAUUGGUUAGCAGGAGGAAAUGAGCCAGAGAACACAAUCCAGCAUUGUCAGCGCUUCUGGAAAUGUUACGGCCGUUCACAGCCUGUGUAAUUCCUCCAGACUUUGCUCAGUGGGAGGAGGUAAGCAGCUUGGGGCUUGAGGACAGACAGAAUGGUAAGUCCUGCAGCCUUUCUUAACGGGCUUCCCAUGACUAUGUUGAUUGCAUAGUUACGUAUGUUCCACCUGAACCUGAACUGGGUACAAGUCCCACAAGAAAACUUACAAGUCCUUUACAACUUUCUGUGACCAGAGCAUAUCUUACACAUGACAUUUCUCAAUUGCUCCCUCCAACAACCUUUUCCCCAGUGUCAAGGGCAUUUGCUGUUUUCCAGCUUUGCCCCACCAAACCCUAUUCUCUCUCCCAAGUGAGGCACAAAUGAUCUGAACAAUGCUCAUUAAGUGAGUCUCAGACUGACUAAUCACAUUUUAUGUGCUUUCCCAGUCUGACUGUACCCACUGUUAUCUCUCAUCUAUAACAGUAAAUCCUUCAGGGCAGAGACCAGCAUUGUUACCUGAUGUAUAUUACCUAGCUGAAGGAGGCCAAGGAUUUUAUAUGCUUUGGCAAUAAACAGCAUAAAUAUCAUUAUGCUUUAAGAACAGUUGUGAAGUAUUUCUCCUUUGUGCAUGGUUUCUAAAUCAGCCAGGACAUGAACCUAUCUGGAGACCACAUUUGUGUAUGAAAUCUAUCUUGUGCCAAAACUAAGAUAUCCAAGUAGCAGAGAAAAUAAAUCAAAACUUACUGUUUA